ensembl:snoRNA
CCUUCACUGAUGAGUAACUAUUUGACUUUCGUUCUUCUGAGCUUUCUGAAGCAACGUUUAUUGAUCUGAGGAGG